GACGAACGCUGGCGGCGUGCUUAACACAUGCAAGUCGAGGGGAAACGACAUCGAAAGCUUGCUUUUGGUGGGCGUCGACCGGCGCACGGGUGAGUAACGCGUAUCCAACCUGCCCACCACUUGGGGAUAACCUUGCGAAAGUAAGACUAAUACCCGAUGAUAUCUCUAGACGACAUCUGAAAGGGAUUAAAGAUUUAUCGGUGAUGGAUGGGGAUGCGUCUGAUUAGCUUGUUGGCGGGGUAACGGCCCACCAAGGCGACGAUCAGUAGGGGUUCUGAGAGGAAGGUCCCCCACAUUGGAACUGAGACACGGUCCAAACUCCUACGGGAGGCAGCAGUGAGGAAUAUUGGUCAAUGGGCGAGAGCCUGAACCAGCCCAAGUAGCGUGCAGGAUGACGGCCCUAUGGGUUGUAAACUGCUUUUAUAAGGGAAUAAAGUGAGAGUCGUGACUCUUUUUGCAUGUACCUUAUGAAUAAGGACCGGCUAAUUCCGUG
rnacentral:rRNA from 1 species